rnacentral:lncRNA from 1 species
UAUGUUUUCCAAAUUUCAUCUAUUUAAAUUUAAUUGAAUCUAAUUAGAUUUUGAUGAAUAGUCUAUCUAACCAUCCUUAGCGCAAGUGGCAAAGGGCUUCAUGGUUGGUACCUGAGAUCCUAAGUUCGAAUCAGAAUUAAUUGAUGUUUCCAGCUGCUAAGUUUAUUUCUAAAUCCCACCUUGACCAUCUCAAUGUGUAAUAUUUGGAUGAAGAAUAUUUGCCAGCAGUUCUAUAUAUACCAUACAGAAAAGUAUCAGAGACAAAAAUGCCAAGAAAGAAUCAAGAAAGACUGAAAGAGAGAAGAAAAGUAAAACACACAAUAUUUACGUGAUUCGGCCACUGGCCUACAUCUACAGGGGAAGACUUAGCGGAUAUUUUUAUUAUAAUCAAAGUCGUGUACAAAAUAUGUCUCUCUUGCAAAAGCCUAGUCCAAAAAGAUACAUGCAUCCAUAAUUCUUCUCAUCUAUCGUACCAAAUCAAUGGAGUAAAAGGUAUAUUUAUAAUAGUGGCUAAAUUCUAAUACGAUGAGUCAUACAAAUCUAGUAAGACUAGGAAUAUCUUAAUUAGAUUAGGUAUAAUCUAAAUUUAACUUAAUGAAAUAAUCAAAAUAUAAUAGGCUUAGAAAACUUAACGGUUUUAUAAUUUGAGACAUAUCUAACAAGAUCUUUUAAUUGCAAGGUGUCAAAAAAUUAUGAAACUCGUGUCUAAAAUGUUUAAAUGUUUUAAAUUAUGUUUAACGUUAUAGAUAACGGAUUCGGAAGCUCUAUUGGUGAAAAUAAUUUAUGAGUACAAAUACAAUCAUACUUAUAAUAAA